rnacentral:rRNA from 1 species
UACGUAGGGCGCGAGCGUUGUCCGGAUUUAUUGGGCGUAAAGAGCUCGUAGGCGGUUUGUCGCGUCUGCUGUGAAAUCCCGAGGCUCAACCUCGGGCCUGCAGUGGGUACGGGCAGACUGGAGUGCGGUAGGGGAGAAUGGAAUUCCUGGUGUAGCGGUGAAAUGCGCAGAUAUCAGGAGGAACACCUAUUGCGAAGGCAGCUCGCUGGGACGUAACUGACGCUGAGACGCGAAAGCGUGGGGAGCAAACAGG